GACCUGGCUCAGGACGAACGCUGGCGGCGCGCCUAACACAUGCAAGUCGAACGAGCGAGAGAGAGCUUGCUUUCUCGAGCGAGUGGCGAACGGGUGAGUAACGCGUGAGGAACCUGCCUCAAAGAGGGGGACAACAGUUGGAAACGACUGCUAAUACCGCAUAAGCCCACGACCCGGCAUCGGGUAGAGGGAAAAGGAGCAAUCCGCUUUGAGAUGGCCUCGCGUCCGAUUAGCUAGUUGGUGAGG
rnacentral:rRNA from 1 species